UACAGAGGCCUCGAGCGUUAGGCGGAAUCACUGGGCUUAAAGCGUGUGUAGGCGGACUUCUAAGUACCUUGUGAAAUCCCACGGCUUACCCGUGGAACGGCUGGGUAUACUGGGAGUCUUGAGCCACCUAGGGGCGAGUGGAACAAAUGGUGGAGCGGUGAAAUGCGUAGAUAUCAUUUGGAACGCCAACGGAGAAAUCAGCUCGCUGGGGGUGUGCUGACGCUGAGACACGAAAGCCAGGGGAGCGAACGGG
rnacentral:rRNA from 1 species